UACGUAGGCAGCGAGCGUGGUUCGGAAUUACUGGGCGUAAAGAGUGUGUAGGCGGUGCUUUAAGUUCGGUGUGAAAUCUCCUGGCUCAACUGGGAGGGUGCGCCGGAAACUGGAGUGCUUGAGCGUGGGAGAGGAAAGCGGAAUUCCUGGUGUAGCGGUGAAAUGCGUAGAUAUCAGGAGGAACACCUGUGGUGUAGACGGCUUUCUGGACCAUAGCUGACGCUGAGACACGAAAGCGUGGGUAGCAAACAGG
rnacentral:rRNA from 1 species